ensembl:antisense_RNA F19C6.8 ncRNA
GUACCUCUGGAUACAAACACGGCCACAUUAUUUUACCUAUACGGCUCCGUAAAUAUAUCACUCCGGGGCUCGUCAUCGUGAGUUGCAGAAUCCGCUGUCGUAAUGCACGUCGAUAUUACUUCAUCGCUCAGAAAGGAACACCAAAACUCUUGUUCAUCCUAUGGAUUAUCUUCAGGUUUUGAGUGUAGCAAAGAAACGAUUGACGAAGCAAGAUCCCUUCUUGACUGCCCAUCAUCGUCCGAUGUCUCGUAUUCUUCCACCUAAAGUACACGAUGUUAAUCGAUAUUUGUGAAUAUAAUAAAUUCAUAAUUAACUU